rnacentral:rRNA from 1 species
GACGAACGCUGGCGGCGUGCCUAAUACAUGCAAGUCGAACGAGAGCGACCGGUGCUUGCACUGGUCAAUCUAGUGGCGAACGGGUGAGUAACACGUGGGUAACCUGCCCAUCAGAGGGGGAUAACAUCCGGAAACGGAUGCUAAAACCGCAUAGGUCUUCGAACCGCAUGGUUUGAAGAGGAAAAGAGGCGCACGCUUCUGCUGAUGGAUGGACCCGCGGUGCAUUAGCUAGUUGGUGAGGUAACGGCUCACCAAGGCCGUGAUGCAUAGCCGACCUGAGAGGGUGAUCGGCCACAUUGGGACUGAGACACGGCCCAAACUCCUACGGGAGGCAGCAGUAGGGAAUCUUCCGCAAAGGACGCAAGUCUGACGGAGCAACGCCGCGUGAGUGAAGAAGGUUUUCGGAUCGUAAAACUCUGUUGUUAGAGAAGAACAAGUGCUAGAGUAACUGUUAGCGCCUUGACGGUAUCUAACCAGAAAGCCACGGCUAACUACGUG